AGGCAUGUGGUUUAGUGGUAUAACAUUUGUUUAGCACUUCCUGCUUGUGAAAUGUCCGGUGUUCAAUUCGCCGCUUGUCCA
rfam:Sphaerobolus stellatus SS14 unplaced genomic scaffold SPHSTscaffold_63, whole genome shotgun sequence.